GUUAUGAAGUAAAAAAAUUACAUUUAGUUUCGACCUAAAAAUAGAGAAUCGAUUCUCCUUACU
rnacentral:tRNA from 1 species